ACGAGUGUGUGUCCUGUCCGGUGGCCGUUCGUAACCGACGACCCGUGGAAGUACACGUUUCCUUCCGGAAAGGACAAAUUACGUUUCGGAGGAGGUUCGAAAGAAAAAACGGUUCCGCGCGAGAGAGAAAAAGAAAAAGUUACCCCGCAAGCAACGGGAUUUGGCCACGGUUGAUUCCGUCCGACCCGACGAAAUCGCAGUGAACCCCAAUUGGAGUGUACGACGGUGUGCGUGUGUUUUUCCCUUUUUGUGAAUAUUAUAUACUAGUUGCAACCCCCGUACAGUGCUGCUCUCUCGCGUGCUGAGCCAGAAGCUAUCAACACCACGGGUAUUCCAUGACAGUGGGUACGCAGUGCAAUCAAUGUGAGCUGUUAAUGAAAAUUUUGAGGCCAAAAUAGAGAGAUCUUCGGUGUUUGAAGUGGCGGAAAUACAUGUGGAAUCAGCAUAAUCAGGUGGAAAGUUUCGUUCGCGGCCACAGGCGCAAAGUACACAUCCCUCAUGCUGCCUUGGAAGGUUUAUUUUCGUUGCCACUAGCAUCCGAAAAAGCAAGGAAAAAGUGCAUGUGAUUGUGUUGGAAUAGAUGAGGUGACACUGUGUGUUAAAACAUUCCCAUCAACAACCCCCUUGUCUAGUGUGGUCUCCAGCAAAGGAGAGGUCGAGAGAGAGCGAUAGUGUGAGUGCGAGUGUAAAGGAAUCGUAAGAAAAGUGCAAACCAACUAAGUAAGUUGCUAGAGAGCAGCAAACAAGCAAAGCAGAGAAAAAAAAGAUAAAGAAUAAAUCGGUUGUUUUGGAUAUACACGCAGUGUAUGCGCUUUAGGCGACGUGAAGAAGGCUGCAGAUAGUGCUUUGUCGGAAGAGCAAAACGGCGUCCUCAACAGGAUCAGCAGCACCAGCACCGUACGACGGCGAGGAGAUGAGUGGUCGGCCCAGGACUACCUCAUUUGCGGAGGGCAACAAGACGCAAAACUAUCCCGUCAUGGGAGGCAUGAAAAUUAUCAGUAA